rnacentral:misc_RNA from 1 species
UGUUUGACAUAAUUAUUAAAAGUUCGCUUAAUAUCCCAUUUUAAAGCAAGUCCACUUUCAUUCUUCAUGCAACUAGGGCCAAUCCUGAAAGAAACCUUUACUAUUCUAUAAACGAAACAACGGUGUACCAAGUGUACUGCUACACAAUGGGAUCUAGGGAGGUAGAGUAUAUGCAGACCUUACCUGUACCUUCUCAGAGGCAGAGAGUUG